UAAGGAUGCGACUCGCGUUAUUUCAUCAUUAUCAGGUUUCAUCGGUGAGCUCAAAAUCGCUAGAAAACAAUUGGGAAACAUUUUUUUAGUUGUCUUCUCAAAACUCAACUGGAUUCAGAAUGUUUGAACUUCGACUCAUCAUUCUCUCCUGGGCAUUUUUCCUUUUUUUGCAAACAUUUCGGGGAAGCCUGCGUCUGAUGGUGCCUGGGAGCCGGAAGUCGUCAAAUUCCAGAAUAAUUUGCACAAGAGAGAUGUCACGUGCUCUGCAAGCUGGUGCAAGAAGGUUCCCAACAAGGUUAUAAAUAACAGACUGCAGUACAUGCGUUUGCCCUAUUGGUAGUUAUGUAGGUAUUCUUAAAGCGAAAAACUUUGUUUUAAAGCACUCUAAAAAUAUAGCUGUGUCAUUGUUUUUGAAAAUAAAUUAAAUUGUUUUUGAAAAUA